rnacentral:rRNA from 1 species
GUCUAUGGCCAUGCCACCCUGAACAAGCCUGAUGUCUGAUCUUGGAAGCUAAGCACGGUCGGGCCUGGUUAGUACUUGGAUGGGAGACCACCUAGGAAGACCAGGUGCUGUAGGGC